rnacentral:rRNA from 1 species
UACGGAGGGUGCGAGCGUUGUCCGGAAUCACUGGGCGUAAAGGGCGCGUAGGCGGUGGGGUAAGCGUGUGGUGAAAGUCCGGGGCUCAACCCCGGAUCGGCCGUGCGAACUGCUUCACUUGAGCACUGUAGAGGCAGGUGGAAUUCCGGGUGUAGCGGUGGAAUGCGUAGAGAUCCGGAAGAACACCGGUGGCGAAGGCGGCCUGCUGGGCAGUGGCUGACGCUGAGGCGCGACAGCGUGGGGAGCAAACAGGAUUAGAUACCCUGUAGUCC